rnacentral:rRNA from 1 species
AUGCACGCUGGCGGCGUGCCUAAUACAUGCAAGUCGAGCGAACAGACGAGGAGCUUGCUCCUCUGACGUUAGCGGCGGACGGGUGAGUAACACGUGGAUAACCUACCUAUAAGACUGGGAUAACUUCGGGAAACCGGAGCUAAUACCGGAUAAUAUAUUGAACCGCAUGGUUCAAUAGUGAAAGACGGUUUUGCUGUCACUUAUAGAUGGAUCCGCGCCGCAUUAGCUAGUUGGUAAGGUAACGGCUUACCAAGGCAACGAUGCGUAGCCGACCUGAGAGGGUGAUCGGCCACACUGGAACUGAGACACGGUCCAGACUCCUACGGGAGGCAGCAGUAGGGAAUCUUCCGCAAUGGGCGAAAGCCUGACGGAGCAACGCCGCGUGAGUGAUGAAGGUCUUCGGAUCGUAAAACUCUGUUAUUAGGGAAGAACAAAUGUGUAAGUAACUAUGCACGUCUUGACGGUACCUAAUCAGAAAGCCACGGCUAACUAC